GGGUCGCCCUGUCCGAGCCCCAGCCCGAGAGGAGGUUUUUCCGCCGGGGGUGGGUGACCUUCGACCGCAGCGUCAACAUCAAAGAGAUUUGCUGGAGCCUCCAGAACAUCCGGCUCCGUGAGUGUGAGUUAUCCCCCGGAGUGAACCGGGAUUUAACGAGAAGGGUCCGGAAUGUGUCUGGGAUCACCCAGCACCGGGGGGGGAUUUUAGAGGUUA